rfam:Aedes aegypti strain Liverpool supercont1.277 genomic scaffold, whole genome shotgun sequence.
AGUCGGGUAGCCUUGAGGUUAUGUUUCCGCUUUAUAAGCGGAAGGUCAUGGGUUCGAUUCCCAGCUCCUCCA